AAGCCGGGGCAACCUGGUGAGUGCAGUGGCGUACGGGUGAGUAACACGUGGGUAAUCUACCUUUUAGUGUGGAAUAACCCUGGGAAACCGGGGCUAAUACCGCAUAAGCCUGAGAAGGGAAAGUCGCAAGACGCUGAAAGAGGAGCCCGCGGCCGAUUAGCUAGUUGGCAGGGUAAGAGCCUACCAAGGCGAAGAUCGGUAGCCGGCCUGAGAGGGCACACGGCCACACUGGCACUGAAACACGGGCCAGACUCCUACGGGAGGCAGCAGUGGGGAAUCUCGCACAAUGGGGGAAACCCUGAUGCAGCGACGCCGCGUGAGCGAUGAAGCCCUUCGGGGUGUAAAGCUCUUUCGUCAGGGACGAUAAUGACGGUACCUGGAGAAGCAGCUGCGGCUAACUACGUGCCAGCAGCCGCGGUAAUACGUAGGCAGCGAGCGUUGUUCGGAGUUACUGGGCGUAAAGGGUGUGUAGGCGGUUGUUUAAGUUUGGUGUGAAAUCUCCCGGCUCAACUGGGAGGGUGCGCCGAAUACUGAAUGACUAGAGUGCGGGAGAGGAGAGUGGAAUUCCUGGUGUAGCGGUGAAAUGCGUAGAUAUCAGGAGGAACACCGGCGGUGUAGA
rnacentral:rRNA from 1 species